UAAUAACGAUCAAAAGAACUCCUCAGUCCAGGGCUGUGAGAUGGCCCUCUUAUUCAUCACUCCUUUCCAGCCCACUAAUCUAUUUCCUGUGUCACUCACAGCUGACAUGUCCAACCAGCCAUUGUCACUAGUCAUAUGCACGCCCCCAAACAUCACAAACCCACACCAGGCUGAAGUCCAGGGGACAGGAACUUUAAAAGAAAACAGAAACUCAGUGGAUAAAGAAUGGGAAUAAUCCACAUGAGAGUUGCUCCUUCUGCCUGGGCCUGGGAAUGAGAAGACCUGUGGAGCUGAGCUACUGCUUACCCACAACCUGCAUAUACAUAAAUCAGAAGCCAGCACUGGUUGUUGUGAGUCGCUUAGAUUUUGGGCUUGAUGAAGAUGACCUUAGGCACAGUGACCCUGAAGGCCACAUGUUAAAGACAGUGGAGCCACAGGAUGGAAGGAAGCUGGUUCCCUGAAUCAUCACGUGGCAGAGAGCGGACCACUAAUCAGGAUCAUGUGUUUCAGAUUUCACUUGACCAAUAAAUCAAUUUCAAUUUUGUUACACUG
rnacentral:lncRNA from 1 species